AAGAAUUCCAGCCUACACCUGAAACCGUUUGCACGUUUCACUUGUGCAGAGCCCUACACUGGAUUGUUCUUCAUGUCUGUAUAGAGCUCAAUACUGGAUUCGCAUUUAAAUCAUUUUCUGCAACUAGCACAGGCUUGGACUUCAGAGUUCUUUCAACCAUUCAUGCUUUAGGAAAAGUUGAAUCUUGAAUACCUGAUCUGGGAUUGAUUUAAAUCUCUUUGAAUCGGUGUCCCUAUACACACCCAUGAACGUUUUCGUUGAACUAAAGUCUGAUACCACAUAAGGACCUAAAUCACUUUUGGUAUGAAUCACACGCAGGAUGAAAUCCCACACAAGGAAAUAUCGUUAUGUCCAUUAUCCAUGUUUUAAACCAUCACAGUUGGUGUGCAAGUUGUCAUUCACCUUGAACCUGAUCAUCAUGUAGCCUCCACAUACCAGACAUGCUUCGAAGAGAAGCUCAUCAGCAUAAACCAGCCUCAAACCUCACUUCAAAAUGACACUCAGAACUAUUUCCUUCGAGCAAAGCUUGCUAAACUAGAGUCAACAUGAAACUUUCAGGGCCUCUUUGACUUACAUCAAUUUUAUAAGAUUCGAACGAAGCAAUUGCUGUAAGAUUAGAAAACAUCCACUGCUAUCUUCAUGUAGAUCUUAAGAAACCUGCAACAUCUCCUUUUGUAGGGCAUGUUUCCUAAGCCCUUCUAUUUGCAGG
rnacentral:lncRNA from 1 species